rnacentral:rRNA from 1 species
AAGGCGUAACGAUUUGGGCACUGUCUCAACAACAGACUCGGUGAAAUUGUAAUUCCGGUGAAGAUGCCGGAUACCUGCGACAGGACGGAAAGACCCCAUGGAGAUUUACUGUAGCUUGACAUUGGGUCUUGGUACUACAUGUACAGGAUAGGUGGGAGGCUUUGAAACCAGGACGCCAGUUUUGGCGGAGCCAUCCUUGGGAUACCACCCUUGUAGUACUGGGACUCUAAC